GGAUGUGAGGGCGAUCUGGCUGCGACAUCUGUCACCCCAUUGAUCGCCAGGGUUGAUUUGGCUGAUCUGGCUGGCUAGGCGGGUGUCCCCUUCCUCCCUCACUGCUCCAUGUGCGUCCCUCCCGAAGCUGCGUGCUCGGUGGAAGAGGAUGACCAUCCCAGAUAGAAGGAGUGUACCGUUCUUCGGUCAAUGGUAUACGAUAGCUGCGCUCCCCUGCUAGAACCUCCAAACAAGCUCUAAUUUCUAAUAUAAACAAAAUCAUCUCCAUGUAACUUUAUGU
rnacentral:sRNA from 1 species